UCCACUACGUGCUGGAGACUGAGAGGCUCAGGACAGUGCCUGAAGUUCAUUCACCCUUAGGCUACGUCUUCAGGGACUCUGAUCUGCUACUAAAACCAAGCCCCAGGGAGUGAAAGUCCCUGCCAUGUCAUCCCUCUGAUCUCCUCCCUGUGAGGACAAAGAAAACUACUGGGUGUUGAUCAUCCAGCACCGUUAGAGCCUGCAGUUAGCUCUUAGACUCCAGUAUAAUUGUGAAGAGUGCUGCAGCAAACAGAAACCAAGAAGAUUUCAUGUCAGGGUCAGUGAGGCACAGUUCAGAGAUAGCUGCUACAGGAAACUGGGGACCAGGAGGAAGAAAGACUCUGAGAAAAAAAUAAGUCAAUGCAGAGCUUCCAACACCACCAGCUCACCGUCGUUCUGCCCUCAUGGGUCAGUAACUCAGCCAAAGCCUGGAGAUUCUGGAAACUGCCUCCAUUGCCUUUGCUGUCCCUGCCCCUCUACUGGAAGUCGCCCACAGGUGCCAGCUGGGGCCAGCCUCCCCCAAGACUGCCUCCC